CCGGUCCCGCGGCUGCAGGGGGUGCGGGGGAUGCGGGGCUCGGUCGCCUCCCGGCGGGGGAGGAGGGGAGUGACGGCCCUUCUGGGAAGCACCGCCGGGAGCCGGGAGUACGUGGACGCGGAGGAGCCCUGCCCCAGGCACACAGGGCGGGUGACUUGGUGAUGGGUCGGCGCCCCCAGCCUUUGGCCUGGCCGUUCCCACCUGCGAGGAAUGCCUUGCCUUCUCCAUGCAAAUGCGACGUGGGAUCCCGGUUUGGAUCCUGGGACACAAAAAAGGAAGGCAACGGAAGAAGCAGUGAAAUCUGAGUAAAGUCUGGAGUUUAAUGCCAAGUGCCGAAGUUCCUCACGGUGACAGCUGACCCACGCCUGUGUCAGGUGUUACCUUGAGAGAAACUGAGUGGGGAGGCUACAGCAAAGCUCACGCAGUCUUUGCUACUUUCCUGUAAAUCUAAGACGACAAUAAAAACUUCAUUUUAGAACA